rnacentral:lncRNA from 1 species
CAGCAACCGCAUAGCAUUGUGGGAUCGCUGCUGUUUGAAUUUUGAAAUUACGCGGCCAACGGACGGUACCAGAAGUAUUUUAACAUUUUUUUGGAAGAAAGAACAUGUCUCAGGAGAGGCACUAAGUGCAGACAAAUGGAUGAUGUCUUUGGAAGGGACAACUGUGAUGGGGCCCCACAACAACCUUCUGAAUGGAGUGCAGCGACCUUCGCUGUCUACGUGUUUAACUAACAGUAUCCUAAAGAGGCCUCAAGCACUAAAGAGCUUUUUGUGGAAUCAACUCCAAGAUGUCAGCAAAGCAGAGAAGAGACAUGGGCUCAACGCACCUGUCUGCACCCUAUUAAGAAGACUCCUGGGCUUUGAGUUGAUGGGCUAGUAUUGAUUCCCACCCACACCCCACAGCUUCCCCAGUUCAAGACUGGUUGGGACCUUUUGUUAUUUAUUACCAUGUUCCCCCUGAUGAUAGACUGUCUGGACGUCUGGAAGUGAGCUAGAUUCUUCAGUGAAACUGUAAUUUUGUUUGUAUGAAAAAAAUAAAAUAAGUUUGUAUUAUGUGAUGUUGCAUAGUG